rnacentral:rRNA from 1 species
UACGGAGGGGGCAAGCGUUGUCCGGACUUACUGGGCGUAAAGGGUGCGUAGGCGGCCUGCUGCGUCGGUGCUGAAAGCGCCCGGCUUAACCGGGCGAGGCGUGCCGAUACGAGCGGGCUGGAGCCUUGGCGAGGGUGGCGGAACUCCUGGUGUAGUGGUGAAAUGCGUAGAGAUCGGGAGGAACACCAGUGGCGAAGGCGGCCAUCUGGCUCAACAUUGACGCUGAGGCACGAAAGCGUGGGGAGCAAACAGG